CUCUGUAAUCCACAUACACUCCUAUUCUAGAGAAGAGAACUCGGCAUUAUGGGAAUUUCAGUCUCUUCAUUAUUGUGCCAGAAUGAAAAUCUGAAUGGCGAACACUCUAAACUCCAGGACUGAUCAUUACAUCCAAACCAACACUCAUCACCAUCUCCCUUCCUGCUGAUGCAUUUAUAUGACACGGCUAUAGAAACCCCAUCAUUCCCACUCCACUCAACCUCCCAGUAACAGCGUCCACUCACACUCUCUCUACACAGAACCUGAGAGUAACGAUCAAAUCUAUCUGGAUGAUCAGGAUAAAACUCUUUGUUCUCCUCAGACAGACGGAGGUUUUCAUUUACUGUGUUUGGAUCCAGUGUGAACCGACAGAAAUCUGGAGAGGAAACACAACAUACACCAAUAAACAUAGAAGAGUGUGCGUGUCAGAAAGUGUUGUGGGCAUCAUGGUGGCAGAGCUGGUAGAGUGGGUGCUACACAGCGACAUCCUGACAACUUAGGUUCAAUCCUUACUUCUGGUCACAAAGAAGACAUUUUCUCCUAGUUCUUCUAAAUUGGUGCCAGAUCUGAGUUUCUGAAUCAUUUGCGGUGUUCAAGGAAAAGCCACCCCCACCAGAAUCCAGCACGGAAGCAAGUAGUGUUAGAACACCAAGCAGUGAGGCUAAUGCAGACUUUACCACCUAUAUGGUUAAGACAGCUGAUUUGCCCUCUCUUUGUCCAAGAACAUUCUUUCAAUGGCUCACAGGACAGGAACACAUCAGACCAGUUCGUCUGUGGAUAUUUGUGCCCAUUCAAUAAAUAAGUAAAACAAA